CAUACCUAAUGGCCGAGACAUGAUUUUUCCCUUAUAAAACUUGAAAUGCAAAGCUAGGGCUCUUUUGCACUUUGGGCCUCACAAGAAGGUCAUUUUGAAUAAAACGUAACCCAUUUGGAAAAAAUACAUCGAAAAUAGACGUCGUUACAUUUUAUAGUUUUGUUCUCCCGUUGCCGAUCUAUGCUGAACAUUCAGUGAGAUUUCUGUUUGUUUAUUUAGAUAUAUUUUCAUUUAUUGACAAAGAGCUAUGUUCCGGGAGAGAGCUAAAAGAGUCUUAUUGUCUUCGGCUAAAGAGAACAUUGAGAAUAUCAAGAAAGCCGUAGAUGAAGGCAAUCACUAUGGGGCUCAACAGAUGUACAAGUCCUUUAGUGUGAGGUAAUUCUUUCUUUAUCAAGGACAGAUAUAUUGCGGCCAAGAGGUAUUUGGAUGCCUUGAAUAUUCUGCAAUCCGGUGCUUGCGUGCAAUUAGAAAAUGGACAGGCUAACCUUUUUCUGCAAAACAAUGACAAUGGAGUCUAGAUAUUGAUACUGACGUUUGGCUAUAUAUGCUUCUAGCAUGGAGCUAUGAGAGCUUACAUGUGGGGCUGAGCUUGUCGUCUUGUUUGUAGAAGCACUUGUUAAAGGAAAAUUUCCUUAUGAUGAUGAUAUUGUUGAUCGUAUCAUGAAAAUCUAUAAAAAAUUUCCUCGCGUACUAGUACCACAACAUUUGGAUACGGCUGAUGAUGAUGACAUGCAACAACUCCAAGAAGCUUUUGGAGCUGCAACAACACGUGUAGAGAGUUGUUCGUCUUUUUUGAAGACUGCUAUUAAGUGAGAUAUUCUUUUCCAAUUUCUCUCUUUUCUCGCCUUAUUUUUCUAUU